rnacentral:rRNA from 1 species
CGAUGCUGACUAGUUGUUCGGGAUUUACAUCCUGAGUAACGUAGCUAACGCGUGAAGUCAGCCGCCUGGGGAGUACGGUCGCAAGAUUAAAACUCAAAGGAAUUGACGGGGACCCGCACAAGCGGUGGAUGAUGUGGAUUAAUUCGAUGCAACGCGAAAAACCUUACCUACCCUUGACAUGUGACUAACGAAGUAGAGAUACAUUAGGUGCUCGUAAGAGAAAGUCAACACAGGUGCUGCAUGGCUGUCGUCAGCUCGUGUCGUGAGAUGUUGGGUUAAGUCCCGCAACGAGCGCAACCCUUGUCUUUAGUUGCUACGCAAGAGCACUCUAAAGAGACUGCCGGUGACAAACCGGAGGAAGGUGGGGAUGACGUCAAGUCCUCAUGGCCCUUAUGGGUAGGGCUUCACACGUCAUACAAUGGUGCAUACAGAGGGUUGCCAACCCGCGAGGGGGAGCUAAUCUCAGAAAAUGCAUCGUAGUCCGGAUCGUAGUCUGCAACUCGACUACGUGAAGCUGGAAUCGCUAGUAAUCGCGGAUCAGAAUGUCGCGGUGAAUACGUUCCCGGGUCUUGUACACACCGCCCGUCAUACCAUGGGAGUGGGUUUUGCCAGAAGCAGUUAGCCUAACCGCAAGGAGGGCGACUGCCACGGCAGGGUUCAUGACUGGGGUAAAGUCGUAACAAGGUA